UNGAAANNAACUUUGAAGAGAGAGUUCAAGAGUACGUGAAACCGUUCAGGGGUAAACCUGAGAAACCCAAAAGAUCGAAUGGGGAGAUUCAUCGUCAGCGGUGUUGGCUUCCGUGUGGACGCGAUGGUCGGGACUUCGGUUUCGAUUCACGCGUUCGCUGCGGUAUGUCCGAUUUCGUCGGCGUGCACUUCUCCCCUAGUAGGACGUCGCGACCCGUUGGGUGCCGGCCAACGGCCCGGUUGGUCGACUGUCGCGUCUCGCUCACGCGUGUACGUGGCAGACCACUGGUAACCCGGCCGGCUGCCCGGCGGUAUAGAUCGAUAAUAAACGGUAUUGGGCCGCAUUAAGUGCGUUCUGGCUCGUCGGCAGGCUCGUCUCGCUCGGAUUUACGGACCUAGUGCCGUUGCCGGGCGCUUGGCGCGGCCGUUAGUCGACGAUGUCCUCGGACUGGCUCUCACAUUCGAACGGAUUUACCGGUCGGCGACGCUACUGCUUUGGGUACUUUCAGGACCCGUCUUGAAACACGGACCAAGGAGUCUAACAUGUGCGCGAGUCAUUGGGACUUGUUAAGCCUAAAGGCGCAAUGAAAGUGAAGGUCUGCCUUAGCGUCACCGAGGGAGGAUGGCUCGCGUCACGAUGCGAGCCCGCACUCCCGGGGCGUCUCGUGCUCAUUGCGAGCAGAGGCGCACCCAGAGCGUACACGUUGGGACCCGAAAGAUGGUGAACUAUGCCUGGUCAGGACGAAGUCAGGGGAAACCCUGAUGGAGGUCCGUAGCGAUUCUGACGUGCAAAUCGAUCGUCGGAACUGGGUAUAGGGGCGAAAGACUAAUCGAACCAUCUAGUAGCUGGUUCCCUCCGAAG
rnacentral:rRNA from 1 species